rnacentral:lncRNA from 1 species
UAGUUGCAUUCCCUUUACUAUCAUCUUUUGUAUUUGAUGAUUUUAGUAUCAUGAACAUGUUUAAAUGAAUGAUGUAAAGGAUAUUUAUUUGAAAUGUCAAAAGUUAUAUUUUGGGAGAAAUGAGAUGUAAAAAGAAAUGAUGCAAGAAUGUGAAAGAACUUGAUUAUAGUUGGAUGCAUGUAUGUGAUUUAAAUUUAGUCAUAUUACUUGUAUGUUGAGCCUUGGGCGGACAGGGGAAGCUCUGUCCGUUCGGCGUCUGUUUGACGCUCUCGAACCGGCCAAAAGGAUCGGGCUCGGGGCGUGACACUAUGAUUGCUAAUACUAGGGCUACUACUACUUCUAACUAGGGGUGGAACUGGGCCUGGG